CUCCCUGGUACAGAACUUUGUUUUAUGUUAAGCGUCUCUACCAACAGAAGCUUGCUGAAAGCUUGCAGAGCCUGUGAGACUGCUCCCUGGCUGCCUGGGAUGUGAUUAUUUCACACCCCUGAACACUCAGAAUUUUCUCCAAACUGAGCACUAAGAGAAAACGUCAGAGUUUCUUAACAGUUUCGGAGACAUGAUAUGAAAAGACAUAAGCAGGUUUUCACACUGUGAUAAGAAAGCCAGAGGGACCGGGAGGGCUCAGAUGACUGAAGACGAGUGAUGGGGCCUCGCUUCUGGAAACAAGGACUCUGAGCACAGCCUCCCAGGUUAUAGACAAUUUUCAGAGGAUGGACAGAAAACUUGCAGCUGAGCUCCUUGAGCAUCCUGAGCAGAAGUGAAAGGAGAAGAUGGAGGAAUUUGGUAACAAACUACUGGGUGGGUCAGCAAGGUAGGAUGAGUGACUUGCAAAGCAUUGAGUGACCCCUGGAGAAGCAGAAACAUUAACCAGCAUUUCAUUAGAAAUUAAUACAUUUUUAGGAAAUUGAGAGAGAGAGAGACCACAGUCAGUAGAUUGUUAAAUGAAAAAACACAGGAAAAAGUGAUGAAAUUAGGAAAAAACUUCAUCCUUGCAGAGCCUCCAUCUCAAGAACAAAACUAAUGAAGGCACUGAAAGAUGUAGAGAGGAGGAAAAAAAAAUGUAUCAUCUGUACAGCAGUGCCAGGGGCCGAGUAAUAGAGAGAAUAGGAAUUGUUCAUUUUAUGAGCAUAAACAGACUAAAUGGCAUUAAAAAGGGCUGGUGGGAAGAUCUGCAUGAAAGGAAUAUUGAAGUCAAUGAUUUUAACCUAGCUAGGAAUGCUCAAAAGGACAGAAAGGAAGGGGGAGUAGUGCUCUUUGUCAAAAAAAGACAUUUUCAAGUACGGAAUCAACGACAAUUUUAAAAUUAAUAGUUAAAUUGUGGGUUAAUUUUCUGUCAUAUAAAGAAGAUAAUUCCUCCUGUCUAGAGGGAAUGGGCUGACAGAAACUUCAUGGAUUUCACCAAAGACAAAGGUCCUGUACUUGGGCUAGAAAGAUCCUCUCCCUCAGUACUGCAUAGUGUAGUGGCUCUGCUGGUAAGGAAGUGGGUAACAGCAUGUGACCCAUGUCCCACAGUGCAGCCCCUGGAGCAAGGAAGGCUGAUGCCAUACCAGGCUACACCAGCAGGAGCAAAACCAGUGGAUGAGGAAAAGGAUUAUCCCUUUUGCUCUGCUUGUAGCUAAUCACAUAGAAUGUCUUGGGGUUGGAAGGAAUCUUAAAAACCAACUAAUUCCAAACCCCCUGUUGUGGAAGGGGUUGCCAACCACUAGAUCAGGUUACCAAGAGCACCAUCCAACCUGGCCUUGAAUCCGUUCAGGGAUGGGAUAUCUGCAUCUUCUCUGGGCAACUUGAAACUAGAACAGCACAUUCAACUUUGAACUCCCUGAUAAAAGUGACAAAUAGGAUCAAGUUCAGCAGAGGGCCACCAAGAUGUCCAGGGGCUGGACACAAUGGGCAUAAAUCCAGCAGGAAAACAGGGCUCAGAUUAGAUAUACAGAUAGAUAAAAAGCAGUGCAGAAGCACAGAGGGGUGGUUCAGCCUCCAUCUCAAGGGGUUCAAGACCUGAGGACAACUCUGAACAACCUAAUCUGUAUUUGUUAUUUACCCUGCUCUGAGCAAGAUGCUCUGAUUCUAUGAACAUUACUAGGUAUGUGUAGAUCACACUAGAAAACAGCUCUCCUGGUAUUAGUCUGUAACUUAUAAAAAAAACCUCCCCUUAUCCAUCCUGCUAGAGUUAGGUUAGUCCAAUGUGCUGAGGACACCUAGAUCUCCUUACAGGUUCUCAGCACUUACAGUGAUGUGCAGUAUAACUCAAAAAAUUGCCUUUAAGGAACAAAGAUACAGCAGUGGGUUUUUUUUUUGUUUGUUUGGUUGGUUGGUUGGUUGACUGGUUGGUUUGGGUUUGUUUGUUUUGUGAUCAAUGAACUUAAAUCUGGGACUACUUGAUUACAUGACUUAUGUACACACCAAGUAAGGCCAUCAGCACUACUAGAUACACUUGGUGGAUUAGAAAGGCCAUAUACAUGAAGCUGAAGACACGCGGGAACAGCCAUGUAUCAAAUAAGACAGGACAAAAAAUUGUAGUCAUGAACUCUGAAUGACAAUCAAGUGUUAUUUAAAAAAAAAAUAGAGCCAAGAAAGCUGGACUAGUUAAAAAAGGUAGUACAAAGUAAGCCAAGGCAGCAAUAUAGCGACAGCAAGAGAGGGGAACUUGGGAGAAAUGAAUACUAGUUAGGAGAUGACAUUGUAGAAAAUUUGUAAGAGAAUGGAAUGAACCCCAAAUGGUACAACAAAAAAGAAAACAUAAUUGUCAGGAACUGUUUAAACAGGCAGAAACCUCAAUUUUUUAUGGGGAAGGUCAGAUGGUACAUUUGUACUACAGAUGAUAAUGAGCUGUUUUCAACUGCAGCUGUGAUCAAGUAUUUGCGGCUGUAUCUACCAAAGUAGGGAUAUUCUAAGAUAAGCAGGCCCGGACAACUUAUAUCCAAGAGUUUUAAAAGAGAUGGCCAGAGAAGUCCUGCACCAGUGCUGUUGAUUUUCAAUUAGUCUCAGAAAACUGGGAGAGCAUCCAAGGGCCAGAGAAAUUCUGAUGUCGUGCCAGUGCUUUGAAAAACACAGUGAUCUCAAUGGGCUGACUGGACUGAUGCAAUGAAAUCACCAAUACGUGGCUUUGAUAGAUUACGGAUUAAAAGCGGGUAAUAAAAUUAGCCAUAAUCAACACAGGUUUAAAGAAAAAUAGACAUCAUCAAACUAAUGCGCUAUAAUUUCUUAUGAGAUUACAAGUCUGGUUCACACAAGUAAUUAUGCUGAUACGACUGGAAUGAUAGGAAAUCAUCAUGACAUACAUUAGAGAGAAACAGGCUAAGUAAUAAGCCUCACAUACAACAGUAAAUGGGAACUUAUUCGUGAGCAGUUGUACUGUAAUACACAAUUCUUGUCAUGCUGUUCCUUAUUUAUUUAUCACAACCUGGCAGAAAAUUAAAAAAAAAAAACAACAUUACUGAUGGAUUUUGCAGUUGAAGCUUAUUUUUGAGAAAACAGAAAAGAAACGAAGAGGAUAAGUCAGCAGUACAGAACAGCAUGAGCUGCUUUGGAAAUGCAAAUAACAUGUAUUCCAGUAUGAACAAAUGCAACACCACACAUCUGGGAACAAAGUUUUCCGCCCCUACUAAUAGGAAGGGAUUUUCUUUCUUCAGAAGAGGAGAUUGUGAGGGGAGAAAAGCCUACAAUCAACGUGAGUUGGAGCACUGGAGAAAGGAGCUGAAUGAAUUAACAGGAAGAUGCUGUGAUAAGAUGGGUUGCCGCAACUCAUGGCUGUAGGAACAGGAAAAUUUAAGGUUGGAAUAGAUAGGCUGGAUUACCACUGUAUAAUGCACUGAAGUGACUACACAGUGUAGCAUGCCUUACUCUGCUGUUCACUGUAGCUUUUUGUUUGUUUGUUUAAAUUUAUUGAACGAGCCCGCAACUCUAUCUUAAAAUUACAAAAUACGCAUGUCAUAGAAUGGCCUGGGUUGAAAAGCACCUCAAAUAUCAUCUAGUUUCAACCCCCCCUGCUGUGGGCAGGGUUGCCAACAACUAGACCAGGCUGUCCAGAGCCACAUCCAGCCUGGCCUUGGAUGCCUUCAGGGAUGGGGCAUGCCACUCCUCUCCAAAGGCAAGUUUGGGAUGGGAUUUGAUCACAGUUUACAAGACAUACAUGGAAAGCUGUGGCGUGAUGGUGGAGAAGAGGCAAAGAUGGGACAUUCUGUGAAAGAUAUACCAGCCUCUUCUCAGCUACUGAGCUAGUUAAAGAAAGGUUUUGGAUAUAUUCUACACACAAACUUGUAAUCACAAUAAUUCCCCUGGCCAUGCAGUGAAGACCUCUCCCCCUUAAACUACCUAUGGUCUGUACAAGUAUAUUCCAUACUAGAACACGUCAAGGGGAUGCUACAGAAGUGGUCAGAGAUAUUUCCUGCCUCUAAUCACUAACUAAAGCACUUGGCUGCAAAGUACAAGAGAGGCCGAAUGAGCACUCAGUGGUGGAAUUGACAUCCCAAGGCCAGGCAGGACUCUUAGGACAGAGUCAUGUAAAGGGAUGCCUCUUUCCCACAGGGACACUGGCAUCAUCUCCAACCACAUGUAAACACAACCGCAAUUCACAGAGUGGAGCAAGCAGGAGAAAUUGCUCACUCUUCGUUGCUAGAGAAAUGCCUGAUUUAAAAAGCUGAUGAGCACCAACCUAGAAAUAAUUGACAUCUCCUAAAUUCACACAUGUAGAGAUGCUGGCUGAAGUUUCCAGUGUCAAUGGUGUCCAGAUGAUCUCGGCUUUCAAAAAAUAGUAGUCUCAGCUUUAGGAAUCUGCCCUUUAAGUACCUUCAGAGCAAGCCCUCCAAAAGCACCCAUCACUGUGGGAAACAGACGACGACAGACACAACCUAAACACAAAUGCAGGGGAAGAGGGUCUCCCACCAAGACAGCUGGUGACAAGCACCACCUGCAUGAGAUAUAUCAGGGAACCUGAAACCUCCCAUCAGCAGUGAGCGAUGGGAACUGAAGUGUCUGCAAGCCAAGUGUGAGCCCCUGUUGCUUGUGUGCAUAAGAGCCUAGGCAUUCAACCCAAAUUACCUCUCUUGGUUUUAGGACCACUGAGGGGAACAAUGGAGAACACUGAGAUAGGAGUAAUUUGUCUGGGGGGUUUUGUGCAUUUUUUUUUUUUCCUAAUCCUUAUUGAAAAAAAUGUGUUGAGGGUUGUUGGGGGAGGGAGUGUGUGAGAGGGGAGAAAGUUCUGGUGAUGUCAGCUCCUAUUGCCAUGGAAACUGAGCAUUUUUAGUGACAAUUGAGCCUUCCUCAAGCUGCUGGGUUGCGUGGGGGGCAGGGGCAAGCAGGGCAGGGGCACACAAGGGAAUUCAGCUAACUAAAACUAUAGCUUCUGGCUUUCCAAGGAAGUGAGGAGAAACUACAUAGGAGUGCCUGAACACAUGGCUUACGUAACCAAAGCACCGUCUGGGGCAACAGCAGCAAAUAAUCAUUGCACUCUUCGAUAAAAUACACUGUCACACUGAUAGCCAGUACCUCAGCCACCCAGGACCACCCAACAGAAGUGUCCCUCACCUGCACUAUGCUUUUCCAGGCUACAGUUCAUCCUCCCAACCUUUGGUGCCUUGCUUGGGGUGCUGCUUGGGUAUAUAUUUGGAAAGAGAGAAAGGGAGAAGGAGCUGGGAAGUACAGUUCGUAUUCUCAAAUCUGAGAGACACUCAAAUGUCAUCCACACAGUGCAUUACUUUUCAUCAUCUGGAUGUUUUUUAGGGGGUCGAAUUUACGAUCUCUCUUGCAGCCCCUGAAAGCUCAGGACCAUGCAAAGGUGGAGGCCUUUAGAAAAAUACUGACGAGUGGCUUUUCAGGAUCUACCUCAUUGGCAAAAAGAAAAUACACCAGGCCUUAUGCAGGAGGCUUUGAAGGCUAAGGCACAGUUUGGACCCAGAGCAAGCUAAUCCAGAUGUGAGACCAAUCAGGAUGAAGCCUGGGGCUUAAAUCUGAGGUUAAAUAAAAGCCUAUGUUCUGUCCAUAAGGGCAAAUUUGAGCCUCUGCUUGGAUUUGAUUUAAGCAGUGCAGACAAUUUUAAUGAAUUUCAAAGAAUAAUGAAUUAAUAACCACAAGCUUUUAUAACUCAAAAUACAUUAUAUAGUCAUUAGUUCUAUAUAACUAAAUGGAAAAAUCUUUCUUUAGCAGAUGAAGUCUUUUGAGAUCAGAUAUUCUAAUGAGAUUACUAUCAUUUCAGCCUGACACCUCAUGAGAACAAUUGUAUAGAAAUCAGGAAACAAAUUUCUUUCGGUUCUGGACCUGAAAUGAAAAAAUCCUCCACAGUGAUUAUUUUAUACCUAAGGAGUUGAUUUUAAGUCUCCUUGGCAAUGAAAGGAGUUCAGAUAUGAGCUUCAUUUCUAAUACUGCUAUCAGAUGUGCAAAAGACACUCUCUCUCUUCUCAAAUUUCUCCCAGCAAUGAUAGCAGAGGGAAAGGUAUAAAUGGGUAUAAAGAUAUAAAUUUCUGAUCUAGGUAGAGAGGAUUUCACAGAAUCACAGGAUGGUUUGGGUUGGACCUCUGGGUCCGCCUGGCCCAACCCCUGCACCGGCAGGGAUGCCCAGAACAGGGUGCUUAGGGCCAUUUCCAGGUGGGUUUUGGAGAUCUCCAAGGAGGAGACCCCACAGCCUCUGGGCAACCUGUGGCAGCGCUCCAUCAUCUGCCCCAUAAGGAAAUGUCUGAUGUUCAGAUGGAGCCUCCUAUGGUGCAGUUUGUUGCAUGAAGGAAACAAGUGAAAGAGGCGAGCACAAUUCCUUGCUUUCAUUUAGCACUGCCCCACCAAUUUCUUCAUCACUCCAGACUGCACUGCUCACACACCACGCUUGCAGGUAUGCCAGGCAGAGAAAUAUCCCCCAGUUCCCAAGCCUUUCCUCCAGUGCAACGGCUAUCCUGCACCCACCUGGAGCAAAGCCACCCUCCCACCCCAUAUGCAGCACAUCCCAAAGGAGGAGUACCAUGGGCUCUGAAUUCUCCUUUCCAAACAGUUCCCAUAAUGCAGGCCUAUUCUAAAUCACAUGCUAAUCACAGCAGACUCAGCCACAAGAAAGGUUCCCAUCUCAUGCACAUUGCUGAAGCUCACAGAAAGCUGCAGCUUUCAUCUGCCCAUCCUCCUUUCACAUACAGGCCAGCUGAGGAUCAGCCUUCACACUUUUACAACUGAACGGAGUUUGAAAAUUCCAGCUCCCCCCAGAAGCAAACAAUUACACACCCCUCCAGAGGAACGACUUCCAAAUCUUUCUGUAGAACAACUGUGUCAGAAGCAAAUGUAAAGACAGCGCUGCUCUGCACCUCAGGGAAAAGCUCUGCAAAGCGAGCUUGAACUCACUGUUAGCUCCGUCAGCAGUGCACUUGCAGGUGACAGCAAAUGCUGGUAAUGCCUUGGGGAGCGGGAGAAGGAAGUCGGGGGGGUUUCUCUGAAAAGAUUUUCACCCCUUUUCUGUAAGAACAUUAAUAUUACAUAAUUUUUCUGACUUCUUUUAUUAUACCACAAGGCAACGUGAUUGAAAAUGGACAAAUUCCAAAAAAGAAUGCAUGCCCACUGAUAUCACAGAGGGAUGCUUUGCUGUGAUUUAAUAGCCAAAUCCUGGUAGGUUUUCCACUUCACACACGCAGAGGGGAAAUAAGAGCUUCUCCAUAGCAACUUUGUUGUAAAAAAACACUGAAAUGUCAGCUCGUCCCAAUAGUACCAUGGUUGAGGCCAGUGCAAUACCAAGACAAAAGGACCAGAGUAAAUAAAUAAAUAAAUAAAUAAAUAAAUUCUACACUGAAAUGCUGCUGCUGGAAACAGAGAAGCUGGCUUAGCUCUGAUAAAGGCAGUUAUUAACAAAAUAACUCCAUUAACAAAAUCACUUCUAGGCUAGCUCUUCAGCUGGUACAAGUUAACACUCCUUACUGAAGUUGUGAGAUAGACAGCUGCACAUCAGCUAAGCUACCUUGCCUACUGUUUCUUCCCCAGGACGCCUCAUUCAAGUUUUUCAAAUUUACCAUAGUGGGACCAGAGUGGAAACUUUUAUAUCAGUUGCAUCAUGGCAAAUCCAAAGUAGCAUUCAUUGGCUUUGCAAGGAUUUACUUUCACCCUUCCAUCAGGAUUUGAGAGGCUUAACCUGGCUUGGUAUACUUAGGGAAAAACAUGGACAGUUGCCAAUAACCUUCAUUUGCUUUCGGACGGGGAGCACGUUUCAGUUUCAGAAGACAUUUCAACAAAGAGAACAAAUAAACACGAACUAUCAACCUACCCAGCCAUGACAAUGAAGAAAUCCAGGCGGUUCCAGGUAUCCCCAAGGUAACACUUCUUGCCAAAGAUCCCCAGGGCCACCAUCUUCAACACCAUUUCCAUUGCAAAGAAGAUGAAGAUGAAAUCAUCAAAUACCUGCCAAACAGAGAGCCAACAAGAAGUGUGACACACGUUCUCAGCUUGAGACUUCUCGGUGCAGAUAGUGAAAUAAACGUGAAUUUGAGUACUUCUGAAAACGAGUUAAAGACAAGGCAGGACAAGUUUCUUCUGCACAGAGCUGGCAUCAUAGCUACCUGCUGUCAAAGCAAGCAAGCAGAGGCUCUAUUUAUUCCUCCUACGUGAAGUACUUGAUGUAGACUCAGAGCCUCUUUGAAUGGACCUGAAAGCAGAUGUUGGCUCAGCAACAGCAGGUCCUUCCUGUGUCAGGAAGACAUGUUUUAUUCACAGAAUCAAGAGGAUUAGCAACUAGUUUGCAUUGCCUGGUCGAAGCCACUUUUCUGCCAGGGAUGUUCUCACCAAACUUUUGGCAAGGUAUUGACCAUACACUGAAAGAAAACACACGUGAAGUUUUGUGACUUGUACUAAUGCACCACCAUGACAGGAAGGAAGUCUGCUUACCUGC